UCUCCGUAGGUGAACCUGCGGAGGGAUCAUUACUGAGUGAGGGUUUCGGCCCGACCUCCAACCCUUUGUGAAUCAAACCUGUUGCUUCGGGGGCGACCCUGCCGGCACUCUGUCGCCGGGCGCCCCCGAAGGUCUCCAAACACUGCAUCUUUGCGUCGGAGUUUAAAACAAAUUAAACAAAACUUUCAACAACGGAUCUCUUGGUUCUGGCAUCGAUGAAGAACGCAGC
rnacentral:misc_RNA from 1 species